UACGGGGGGGGCAAGCGUUGUUCGGAAUUACUGGGCGUAAAGGGUCUGUAGGUGGCUUGCUAAGUCAGACGUGAAAUCCCUCAGCUUAACUGGGGAACUGCGUCUGAGACUGAUGAGCUUGAGUGCAGGAGAGGAAUGCGGAAUUCCAGGUGUAGCGGUGAAAUGCGUUGAUCUACAGAGGAACACCAAAAAAGGCGAAGGCAGUCAACUAUUCUGUUCCUGACAUUGAGGCAUGAAAGCGUGGGGAGCAAACCGG
rnacentral:rRNA from 1 species